UACGAGAGAGGCAAGCGUUGUUCGGAAUUAUUGGGCGUAAAGAGCGCGUAGGCGGCGCCACAAGUCACUUGUGAAAACUCUGGGCUCAACUCAGAGCCUGCAAGCGAAACUGUGGUGCUGGAGUAUGGGAGAGGUACGUGGAAUUCCCGGUGUAGCGGUGAAAUGCGUAAAUAUCGGGAGGAACACCUGUGACGAAAGCGGCGCACUGGACCAUAACUGACGCUGAGGCGCGAAAGCUAGGGGAGCAAACAGG
rnacentral:rRNA from 1 species